rnacentral:rRNA from 1 species
GACGAACGCUGGCGGCGUGCCUAAUACAUGCAAGUAGAACGCACAGUUUAUACCGUAGCUUGCUACACCAUAGACUGUGAGUUGCGAACGGGUGAGUAACGCGUAGGUAACCUGCCUGGUAGCGGGGGAUAACUAUUGGAAACGAUAGCUAAUACCGCAUAAUAUUGAUUAUUGCAUGAUAAUUGAUUGAAAGAUGCUAUUGCAUCACUACCAGAUGGACCUGCGUUGUAUUAGCUAGUAGGUGAGGUAACGGCUCACCUAGGCGACGAUACAUAGCCGACCUGAGAGGGUGAUCGGCCACACUGGGACUGAGACAAGGCCCAGACUCCUACGGGAGGCAGCAGGAGGGAAUCUUCGGCAAUGGACGAAAGUCUGACCGAGCAACGCCGCGUGAGUGAAGAAGGGUUUCGGAUCGUAAAGCUCUGUUGUAAGAGAAGAACGGGUGUGAGAGUGGAAAGUUCACACUGUGACGGUAUCUUACCAGAAAGGGACGGCUAACUACGUG